AAAAGAUAGUUUAAAAAAAACACUGGCUUUGGAUUCCAGUAAUAGAUGACAAUCUUCUUUUGA
rnacentral:tRNA from 1 species